AUAUUGCCGCGCGUGGUAUGAUCUGUGGACGGAAUAAAUACAUACAUUUUGUAAAUAAUUCUAUUUUACUGGUUUUUGUAAACAGGAGAGAUGGUUUCUUUCGAGAUGGAGUAUUCAUUGGCAAACACAGUGAUCAGUCAACAGUAUCCAGCGGUGAACAUGUACAACCGCUACCGUUUCCUCAAACGUGAGUAUGCCUAUGGCCGGGUAUAGUUAAUAGAGUAUAGAUGGUUUGGAAACUCAUUAGAAUAACAACCUAACUCCAUUGUCUAUGUUAGUCAACGUUUAUUCAUAAAUCUGUCCCUUAACCGUCACGUGCGUAUUGUAUUUUUGUCAAACUAACCAAUAGUAAUGUUUUAGGAAAGUUACGUGUCCGUUACUCGAACAAUAGGGUAAAUUGGAAAUUGCUAUUAGUAGAUUCGGCAAAAAUACAAUUACACACGUGACGGUGAAGAACCAUAUUUAUAUGAAUAAACGUUGACUAACAUGACUAACAUAGGGCGCUUUCCAUUUAAUACCGGUCUGACCGAUCAUGCAAACCUUAAUUUUUGUCUCUGUUAUCAACGGAUUAAAGAUCUGGUCUAUGUAUCUCAAAUAUCUAACGAAAAUGGACCUCGAGCUCAUUCUAAUUUUAUCUAAAUUUUCCGGUCAGAUAGGUUCGAAGCACAAACGUUUUGUGUUCCAUUCAACAAUUUGACCGUUCUAACCGAUCUGGCCGUGUAAAUGGAAAGCGCCCAUAGAUAACGACUUAUAUUGUUAUUCUAAUGAGUUUCCAAACCAUGCACCUGUUCUAUUUAACUAUGCUGUGUGUCGCCUCGCACCUACGCAUGUGAACAGCCUUUGUGAUUAGACGACAGGUCAAUUUUCAGAUGGCAUUUUUUACAAGCUGGUGAACCAGACAAUACAUUGGCGCAUGGCACGUCAUAUUCUAACUCCACAGGAAAACAUUGUUGAAAAACAAUUCGCAGUCCCCGCAACCGCGCGAAUAUGGACGAUUUAAUGCCCCUAUAAAUCCACCAUUUUGGUUAGAGACAAAAAUUUUACUGAGAAAAGUAUAAAAAUUACACAGUUGGAAAAAGUUAACUAAAGUCAGAUGCGCGAUAUUUGCGAAGAUUUUCAGUAAAAUCCAGGUUUUGAAGAUUUCGCGUUGGCCUACGCGUGCACCAAAUUUCCUGAAACUUUGCAAGACAGUCCAUAUUUUGUCUCUGUGUGAUUACAUUUUGUUUCUGAUGAAAACUUUUUUGCGCAAGGCCUUUUUUUUUUAGUAGCAGCUUUUCUACUCUAUAAACGCUAUAGCAUUUUAAAUAGUACUUAAAAUACUCAUUAAAAAUUCAUAAACCUUGUGGCAAAUCAUGUCAGUCAUAAUAUGUCACGUGGACUGACUUUAUAUCUGAUAAAAGUCAUCUUCAUUAGUAUUCUUUAUAUAAUUCUUCAUCCUAAUUAGUAUGAUUAUAUAAUUGUUCAUCCUAUAAUUAGUAUUCUUUUGUAGUCGUAUUUUAAGCUAUUCAAAACACUCGAACUCGCGUUUUAUCAUAGUCUAAAACGCUCGGCUGCGCCUCGCGUUUUAAAUAUGAUAAAACACUCCUUCUCGUGUUUUAAAUAGUACUUCAAACGCGAUUUCUGUGCAUGAUUUCAUAUUAAUUUUAUGCAUGCUCGGAUGUUUGCAUAACUUACAGUACGAAAUUCGCAAGCUAAUUCCCAAAGGUCCUAAAAGAGUUAUAGUAACUGCGUUUAUUUACAAAAUUAUUGACAUGUAAUGUUUAUUUACAAACAAAAUCAAUCUUCAACGUGCCCUCCUAUGUUGAAGAUUGAUUUUGUUUGUAAAUAAACACUGCAUGUCAAUAAUUUUGUAAAUAAACACUGUUUUUGUGAGUAAACGCUUUUAGGACCUUUGGGGGUUGGCUUGCGAAUUUCGUAUUGUAAUUUAUGCAAACAUGCAUGCUCGCAUGCAUAAAAUUAAUUUGAAAUCAUGCUAUAGCUAAGAAUCGCGUUUGAACUAACAAAAUGGGAGAAAAUCCAGGUUUUGAAGAUUUCACGACUCACGUUGGCCUACGCGUGCAACAAAUUUCUUGAAACGGUGAUAGCUUGUGCCAGACAGUCCAUAUUUUGAUUAAAUUUUGUUUCCGAUGGGAAAAAAAAUUUGCGCAAGGUCUCUUUUGGGAGGUUUUUAGUAACAGCUUUCCUAUACUCUAAAAACGCUAGCAUUUUAAAUAACUUUAGUGCUAGAUGUACCAGAGAACAUUAAAGUACAUCGGCUUACUGAAAGUUUUCGCAAAUGUCGCGCGCAUCUGACUUUAGUGAACUUUUUCCAACUGUGUAGUUUUUUUUUAUACAUGCACCCUGUAUAUCUAUUUUUCUCGGUAUAGCUAGCCCGCAUGAUUAACUAAAAACACCUCCGCAUGCAAGUGGGGAGAUGGAUGCCAGUUAAUUUAAAGUACAGCAAGAAACAAGCACUUAUAUAAUAGACUAUACGUUCACACUAUGGAGCGGUUUGAAAACAACGCGGAAAAGUCACAAUUAGCCGUUAUGUUCACACCACGCUGGAGCGUUUAUUUCACUCCAGUGUAUAUAUAUAGUGUCAACGUAGUCUAAGGUCUAGCUGUUUCAAUUUUUUUUAAUACGUUGAAACUGUCGAGUGUCCUUAUUGUCACUUUUGUUAAUGUUAUUAUUUUCAGUGUACGCGACGGAGAAGAAGAAGCUCAAAGGAAGCUAGAACGUGAAAAAAGACGAUCGGAGAGACAAAAAAGACAAUCUGAGAGACAAAAAAAACGGGAUGAAUAUGACAGAAAAUAUGGAACAACUCGUCAAUCUUCGUCUUAGUGAGACAAUAAGAACGUAAUGAAACAUGGUUCAAUUAAUCACUGAACAGAGAACAUUCGUAUAAUCUUCCACCUUUGGGAAUUGCAUGGAAAUCGAAACAUAGUCAAUUCCCAAGACUCAAGAGGGAAUUAAUAUUGAAUGUUAAAUUAUCUAUAAAAUGAGCUCAUACAACUCGUCAAUCUUCGUCUUAGUGAGACAAUAAUUAGAACGUAAUGAAACAUGGUUCAAUUAAUCACUGAACAGAGAACAUUCGUAAUCAAACGUUUACGAAACAAAUAGCUUGCAGCCGGCUCGCGUUGCUUUUGGAUUGAUUGACUUUGCAUAAUUAAUGUAUUUUCAAUUCCCAACGGUGGAAAAAUGUGAUUUCGACCGGCAAUUUUUAUUUAACGAG